rnacentral:rRNA from 1 species
AACGAACGCUGGCGGCGCGUUUUAAGCAUGCAAGUCGAACGGUAGAGUAGUGCUUGCACUACUUGAGAGUGGCGAACGGGUGAGUAACGCGUAGAUGAUCUGCCUUUCGGUUGGGGAUAGCCUAUGGAAACAUGGGGUAAUACCGAAUGAGCUCCUUGUGUUUUGACACUUGGAGGAAAGGGGCUUCGGCCUCGCCGAGGGAUGAGUCUGCGUAUGAUUAGCUAGUUGGUGGGGUAAAGGCCUACCAAGGCGACGAUCAUUAGCCGGCCUGAGAGGGUGACCGGCCACAUUGGGACUGAGACACGGCCCAG